GGCAACUUGCCCGAGUGGUUAAGGGGACAGACUUGAAUAAAUGCGUAAUGUAUUAAGUUAUCUGUUGGAUUCGUCCGCGACGGUUCGAACCCGUCAGUUGUCG